rnacentral:lncRNA from 1 species
AAAACCCAAUGGGAGGAUCCCCAAAUCAGAUAGCCCAAAGAACGAAAUCCAAUUGAACGAAUCAAGGUGAAUGCCCAAAUAAGGGGCCCAAUAGUGCGGUAACGCUAUCGUCCAAGUUUGCAAGUCGCUCAGAGUCUGAACGAAUAGAGUGGAAUACGGUCGUCCAAAGUCUCGCCCAAAUGUUCAAGUCGCCCAAGGUAUCAACAAACGUAACGCAUUAUGAUGCAGUUAUUGAGGCAGUUGCUAAAGUAACUUUAUCACGUUCCACGACUCGAGGGGUUCAAUCCAAAGCGGUUGAACGAUGCAAGAUAAUG